rnacentral:rRNA from 1 species
AAGUAGGGGAUCGUAAGACCUUGCGCUUUUGGAGCGGCCGAUGUCUGAUUAGCUAGUUGGUGGGGUAAUGGCCUACCAAGGCUUCGAUCAGUAGCUGGUCUGAGAGGACGGCCAGCCACACUGGGACUGAGACACGGCCCAGACUCCUACGGGAGGCAGCAGUGGGGAAUUUUGGACAAUGGGCGCAAGCCUGAUCCAGCCAUGCCGCGUGAGUGAAGAAGGCCUUCGGGUUGUAAAGCUCUUUCAGCCGGGAAGAAAAGGUUGCGACUAAUAAUCGCAAUUCAUGACGGUACCGAAAGAAGAAGCACCGGCUAACUACGUGCCAGCAGCCGCGGUAAUACGUAGGGUGCGAGCGUUAAUCGGAAUUACUGGGCGUAAAGGGUGCGCAGGCGGUUUUGUAAGUCAGAUGUGAAAUCCCCGGGCUUAACCUGGGAACUGCGUUUGAAACUACAAAGCUAGAGU